CCGCGUGGGUGAAGAAGGCCUUCGGGUUGUAAAGCCCUUUUGUUGGGAAAGAAAAGCAGUCGAUUAAUACUCGGUUGUUCUGACGGUACCCAAAGAAUAAGCACCGGCUAACUUCGUGCCAGCAGCCGCGGUAAUACGAAGGGUGCAAGCGUUACUCGGAAUUACUGGGCGUAAAGCGUGCGUAGGUGGUUGUUUAAGUCUGUUGUGAAAGCCCUGGGCUCAACCUGGGAAUUGCAGUGGAUACUGGGCGACUAGAGUGUGGUAGAGGGUAGUGGAAUUCCCGGUGUAGCAGUGAAAUGCGUAGAGAUCGGGAGGAACAUCCAUGGCGAAGGCAGCUACCUGGACCAACACUGACACUGAGGCACGAAAGCGUGGGGAGCAAACAGGAUUAGAUACCCUAGUAGUCCAAA
rnacentral:rRNA from 1 species